rnacentral:rRNA from 1 species
GGACUACCGGGGUAUCUAAUCCCGUUCGCUCCCCUGGCUUUCGCCCCUCAGCGUCAGAAACGAGCCAGGACCCUGCCUUCGCCAUUGGUGUUCUUCCGGAUAUCUACGCAUUUCACCACUCCACCCGGAGUUCCAGGUCCCUCUCUCGCUCUCAAGUCUGCCAGUUUUUGAGAUCGUUCACCGGUUAAGCCGGUGAUUGUCGCCUCAAACUUAAAAGACCGCCUGCGGGCGCUUUACGCCCAAUAAUUCCGGAUAACGCUCGCCCCCUACGUAUUACCGCGGCGGCUGGCAC